AGUCGUAACAAGGUCUCCGUAGGUGAACCUGCGGAGGGAUCAUUACCGAGUGAGGGCCUCCGGCCCGACCUCCAACCCUUUGUGAACACGUAUCUCGUUGCUUCGGGGCGACCCUGCCGUUUCGGCGCCGGGCGCCCCCGGGGGCAGCACACAACACUGCAUCCUUGCGUCGGAGCGAUUUGAAAUCAAAACAAA
rnacentral:misc_RNA from 1 species